CUUGAUCAGCAAAAAGAGUAUAUAGCUCUUCGGGAAUGUGCCAUUUUGGGGAUUCCUACUAUUUCUUUAGUCAAUACAAAUUGUGACCCGGAUCUCACGAAUAUAUCGAUUCCAGCCAACGAUGACACUAUGACUUCAAUUCGAUUGAUUCUUAACAAAUUAGUAUUUUCAAUUUGUGGGACCAGGCCCUAA
rnacentral:rRNA from 1 species